GAUGAACGCUGGCGGCGUGCCUAAUACAUGCAAGUCGAGCGAACAGAUAAGGAGCUUGCUCCUUUGACGUUAGCGGCGGACGGGUGAGUAACACGUGGGUAACCUACCUAUAAGACUGGAAUAACUCCGGGAAACCGGGGCUAAUGCCGGAUAACAUUUAGAACCGCAUGGUUCUAAAGUGAAAGAUGGUUUUGCUAUCACUAAUUGAUGGACCCGCGGCGUAUUAGCUAGUUGGUCAGGUAACGGCUUACCAAGGCAACGAUACGUAGCCGACCGUAGAGCGUGCUCUGCCACACUGGAUUUUCGACACGGUCCAAACUCCUACGGGAGGCAGCAGUAGGGAAUCUUCCGCAAUAGGCGACAGCAUGUCGGAUCGGCGACGCGUGAGUAACGAAGCUCUUCUAAUCUUAAAAAUCUUUUAUGAGGGAAGAACAAAUGUGUAAGUAACUGUGCACGUCUUGACGGUACCUAAUCAGAACGCCACGGCUAACUACGUG
rnacentral:rRNA from 1 species